AGGUAUUUAGUCUAAAUAAGACCAUUAAUUUCGGCUUAAUAAAUUAUGAUUAAAAUUCAUAAAUACCCU
rnacentral:tRNA from 1 species